UACGUAGGUGACAAGCGUUGUCCGGAUUUACUGGGCGUAAAGAGCGCGCAGGCGGUCGUUCAAGUCGAGUGUGAAAGCCCCCGGCUCAACUGGGGAGGGUCAUUCGAUACUGAUCGACUCGAAGGCAGGAGAGGGUAGUGGAAUUCCCGGUGUAGCGGUGAAAUGCGCAGAUAUCGGGAAGAAUAUCCGUGGCGAAGGCGGCUCUCUGGUACGGCACUGACGCUGAGACGCGAAAGCGUGGGGAGCGAACAGG
rnacentral:rRNA from 1 species